UACGUAGGUGGCAAGCGUUGUCCGGAUUUAUUGGGUUUAAAGGGUGCGUAGGCGGCUUAUUAAGUCAGUGGUGAAAUACUCUAGCUCAACUAGAGGGGUGCCAUUGAUACUGAUGAGCUUGAGUACAGAUGAGGUAGGCGGAAUUGACGGUGUAGCGGUGAAAUGCUUAGAUAUCGUCAAGAACACCUAUAGCGAAGGCAGCUUAUUAGGCUGUAACUGACGCUGAGGCACGAAAGUGUGGGGAUCAAACAGG
rnacentral:rRNA from 1 species